UGGGGAAUUUUGGACAAUGGGGGAAACCCUGAUCCAGCCAUCCCGCGUGUGCGAUGAAGGCCUUCGGGUUGUAAAGCACUUUUGGCAGGAAAGAAACGUCAUGGGUUAAUACCCCGUGAAACUGACGGUACCUGCAGAAUAAGCACCGGCUAACUACGUGCCAGCAGCCGCGGUAAUACGUAGGGUGCAAGCGUUAAUCGGAAUUACUGGGCGUAAAGCGUGCGCAGGCGGUUCGGAAAGAAAGAUGUGAAAUCCCAGAGCUCAACUUUGGAACUGCAUUUUUAACUACCGGGCUAGAGUGUGUCAGAGGGAGGUGGAAUUCCGCGUGUGGCAGUGAAAUGCGUAGAUAUGCGGAGGAACACCGUUGGCGAAGGCAGCCUCCUGGGAUAACACUGACGCUCAUGCACGAAAGCGUGGGGAGCAAACAGG
rnacentral:rRNA from 1 species